UACGAAGGGGGCUAGCGUUGCUCGGAAUGACUGGGCGUAAAGGGCGCGUAGGCGGUUUGUACAGUCAGAUGUGAAAUUCCUGGGCUCAACCUGGGGGCUGCAUUUGAUACGUGCGGACUGGAGUGGGGAAGAGGGUCGUGGAAUUCCCAGUGUAGAGGUGAAAUUCGUAGAUAUUGGGAAGAACACCGGUGGCGAAGGCGGCGACCUGGUCCUUGACUGACGCUGAGGCGCGAAAGCGUGGGGAGCAAACAGA
rnacentral:rRNA from 1 species